UUUUUUUUUUUUUGUAAGUAACGAGUAACGAGUAAAAUGGCUCGCGCUUUCCCAGUCACAAGGCUUGACAGAUUGCCAUCGAUCCGCGUAAUUAACUGCUCCGAGAACGGAUCGUGAGCACUGCCAAUUUGCAUAAUUGGGUCGGCAUUGUUAAAACGUUAUUUACGCGGCUUCAUAAAUUCAACCGAGCCCUUCCGCGAUUAAUGCUCCGGUCGUACAAGUCCGCUCGCCUAGACGCGGAGAAAUAUUCGAAAACUUCAAGCUCCUGAAUUAACAAAGACUUUACAUCAUUCCGGUGAUAUAAGUCGAAACGUCAUAAUGUAAUAAUGCUUCAACGUCACGAAAUUACAAUACCGCGAUAUCAAGAUUAUAACAACGUUCUGGGUAUAGAAGGUGGCAGUAUUUUUUCCUCGGUAGACGGCUGUUAAUGUGCGCUACCGGCCAUACGUAUUUGGCUACUUUUAAAUUAUUGCACAUUUAUAACAUAUACCUUAAACGAGGCCCUCUUUAACCUAAUUUUGCCUUCUGAUCUCAUUUCACGCAAGUGCGAUACAGUUGGAAGAUAUCGAUAAAAGUAACAGGUAGCUAUUAUUAGUUUGUAUUAAUAAAACGACAGUAAUUGAAAAUUGAUGAAAAUUGAUGCCGGUCUAAGUGACUUUAAACGCGAGUCUGUUCAAUCUUGAGAUCUCAGGACGAUUAAAUUACACGUUUCUAGCCAUAUUUUGAAAGCUAUUUAUCACAGAUAAACGUGGAACUCUCGUGUGACCAGGAUCUCGUUAAUAGAUAAGUAUCUGCAACAUGUGUGUACAUAUUCUCUGUUUCAUAUUAAGAGUAGACAAAUUGAUCCCAGUUACAGCGAGAAUGAACAAUGGAGAAACGUUGGUGAAUGGUAUCAUCGAAAAUAGAAGGAAAGAUCUUUCGAUCAAAUUGCGCUAGAUAUUUUGUGUUCGUAGGUAAAUGUGUUAAACAUUUGUACUUACGGAGAUUCUACGUAACACGCUUAUGUUCACAGAGAUUAUAUGUAUAUAUAAUGAUCAAAUCACUUUACAGCUCGACCUAUCCCGAUCGGGUUCAAGGCUGAACGGUUGAAACGUCAGUUACAGAAGCAUAUCGAGAGCAAUUUCGCAGCAACAAUUAUUCGCGAUGGAAUAUUCGAAAUAACGAUGUACUCGUUUCUCGAGCUGUUGCUUCCGUACAAAUGAAAGCAUUUACCGCGGUUUCGAGCAUGUCAUUCGUUUCGCCGCAUAAACUCAGGGAUACGCGAGUGCCACUCGUCCGGCAGGAUCAGGAUAAUAAACGGUCGCGCGGUUGGAGAGAGGAGUACGGCGCAAAUUGAUACGCGAAAUAUAAGAUUUCGUUGGUGUUUCAUUAACUCGACCUACAUACACACGCACGCUGUUGGCCGUGCGUGUGCGUACUCUCGGCAGAAAAAUGUAUAUCGCUGGUAAAUUGGCCGGCGAUUCGUUGCCUUUCGUUUCGUUUUGUCUGCUUUUCAGAGCAGAAGUUACUUUCGUCCCGUAUAUCGUCGUUUUAUCGUGCAACAGCGAUCGAUUCGGGAAAAUGUCGAAAGAUCGAGGGGAUUUUGAAAGUUCGACAGCGUCCGCCGAGUGAAGCCAGAAAGAUCAAUAUGGCGACAACAGGAGGAACCGGAUCCGCGCACGGUCGUAUUCCGCGCAUGCAUCUUGUGCUUUCCUACCAAUUCUACCUUCGCCACUGAUAUCGAUGCCCUCUAUUUUCGCUUCUCUUCGCGCUCACUGAUAUCAGUGCCCUCUUGCUCACCCUCCUUCGCGCCACUGAUAACUGCUACAUAUAUAUAGCAUAUCAGCCUGCAGCAUUUGCUAUUUUAUCACUAACGGUGGUACAGAUACGAGUGAUAGAUUUUAUGCCGAGAGCCAUUGUACGUUGUACACUGUUUGUUUAUAGUUUAUAGCGUUUUACGGAAGCGAUCACUAAAAAAUGGAUCUUUGUGAAUUAAUUGAUAGUAGGAGGAAGAGAUUCAGAGAGCAUAUCGGAGAAAGCUUUGCGUUGCCAUUCUGACAAAGAAACAAAUAAGCCGAGAGCUGCUGAGUUUUUUCAUAAAUUACCCGGAGCCUUGGAAAUUCUGACCGGCUCAUCGGCUCGAGAUAUUUUCAAUAUGCUCAAUUUUCUAUUAUAUUGCUUGUUUAAGUUAUUGGUGACAUAUUUUGUUUGCAAAAAAUUGAAUCGCGUUGGACAAAAUUUCAAGCACCAAGCGAGGAGGAAGAUUGAGUACCAAACGAUUUUGGAAAAAGAUUGGAAGGACAUUUGGAGGCAAGAGAAAGAGAGAGAGAGAGAGAGAGAGCUAAUUCUACAAAUGAUGACACAUUAAUUGUAGAAAUUUUUUUACUUUACUUUCUUUUAAGUUUAUUUUUUCCGUAGAAAACGGCACUGCAUUGAUCACUGUUUCAUUGAUGCAGGCUUUAAUGGAGAAGUUGAGGAAAGUAGGCAACGGGCAAUUACAGCAGCUCGUAAUAGUUUAAAACGACGUAAGCUCGCGACAAACCUAUGAAACAGCGAAAGGUAACAGAAAAUGGUAACAGACAAUAUUUACUUUUUUAUUUCGUUACUUACCUUCUUUUUAUUGAUACGUAGAUAAAAGUAUGCUAUCGUAGCUUGAACGAUCCGUACCGACUAACAUGAAACAAACGCAAGAAAGAAAAAGAAAGUAUCGAGCAAAGUAAGACAUAUGAUCUAUGAGCCAAAAUUUACGAGUAAUAAAAUUUGCAAAUAAUUGUACAAAUUUUUUCUGAACAUAUGUGUAUACAUGCUUUAUAAUUCAUUAAAAAAUUAGGCAACGAAAAAUUCAAAAA